rnacentral:misc_RNA from 1 species
GAAAAGCCUUCUACUCCAUUGAGGCUUUGGAUUGGUGGUUAUGCACUUCAGUGCCUCUUGCAUGUUGGUUUUAUUUGGGUUGAGUUUCAAAGAAGGAGUUUUGAUGAUUUUGAUGCUGGGAAUUUUGAUGGGGCUUCUUCUUUUUCACUGCUUCACAGCAGCAUCAUGAAGAGGUUGGAAUCAGUCAAUACUGUGAUUUCAUCAAUCUGGUGGGUAUUUGGCUUUUAUUGGAUUGUUAUGGGUGGCCAGGAACUUCUGCAAGAUUCACCUCGCCUUUACUGGUUAUCAGUUGUUUUCCUAGCAUUUGAUGUGUUCUUUAUGAUCUUUUGCAUUGCGAUGGGAAUUGUAGUCUUCUUCGCAUUCUUUUGCUUUUUUCCAUUUAUCGCAACAGUUGCAUAUGCCAUGAGACUUGGAGAUGGAGCAUCUGAAAAUGAUAUCAAGACUCUUCCCAAGUAUAGAUAUGGCCAACUAAAUACUUCAGGGAACCUUGUAAAAAUGAAGACAGGAGAAGAUCACUCAAUAUCACAGCUCAAUAGUAGUGCCUCUGUACCUGAGCUUGCUCUUAAACCAGAUGAUUCUGAAUGCUGCAUCUGCCUUUACAAAUAUGUAGAAGGGGCAGAGCUGUGUGUUCUUCCCUGCAAUCAUCAUUUUCACAAUGGAUGCAUUAGCAAAUGGCUAAGGAUCAAUGCAACCUGUCCCCUCUGCAAAUUCAAUAUUCUUAGGGGUGACACUCUAGUCUGACUAUUUGUCCGUCAGACUUGAGUUGGGACUAUACUGAGAAAUGUAACUUUUUUUUUCUCAUGGCCUGCUUGUCUUUUGGCAAAAUGUAUGUAAAAUUAGCCAUAUUUAAUGCUUGUCUCACCCUCAGCUAUUACACCCGGUAGCCUUUGUAUAUUUGAUUAGUUAGCUUCUCUUUACAGCCUACUUAAGCAGACUCUUCAUUGUUUU